UGAAUUCAAUUAUUGAAACCCCAUUCUUGGUACUAGGCAAACCUCAAAUGCAAAGAAAAAUCAGCCACCCAACCCGAACAUUCCAAGUGAAAACUUCGAUCUCCUUUUCCGACUACUUAACAUAAACUAAACUAAAUUAAACAUAUAUGUGUCUUAAUAUAAGCAUGUCGAUUAAGAGGAAGGUUAGCGUGAAAACAGAGGA
rnacentral:lncRNA from 1 species